rnacentral:sRNA from 1 species
AAAAGAAAGAAAGAAAAA